GCGAUCAUACCAGCACUAAUGCACCGGAUCCCAUCAGAACUCCGAAGUUAAGCGUGCUUGGGCGAGAGCAGUACUAGGAUGGGUGACCCCCUGGGAAGUCCUCGUGUUGCCCCU
rnacentral:rRNA from 1 species